rnacentral:rRNA from 1 species
UACAGAGGUCUCAAGCAUUGUUCGGAUUCAUUGGGCGUAAAGGGUGUGUAGGUGGUGCGGCAAGUUGGGAGUGAAAUCUCUGGGCUUAACCCAGAGGCUGCUUUCAAAACUGCCGCGCUCGAGUGCGAGAGAGGUCAGUGGAAUUGCAGGUGUAGCGGUGAAAUGCGUAGAUAUCUGCAGGAACACCCGUGGCGAAGGCGGCUGACUGGAUCGCAACUGACACUGAGGAACGAAAGCUAGGGGAGCAAACAGG